rnacentral:rRNA from 1 species
CCUACGGGUGGCAGCAGUGGGGAAUAUUGGACAAUGGGGGCAACCCUGAUCCAGCCAUGCCGCGUGUGUGAAGAAGGCCCUCGGGUUGUAAAGCACUUUCAGUGAGGAAGAACGCCUGGUGGUUAAUACCCAUCAGGAAAGACAUCACUCACAGAAGAAGCACCGGCUAACUCCGUGCCAGCAGCCGCGGUAAUACGGAGGGUGCGAGCGUUAAUCGGAAUUACUGGGCGUAAAGCGCGCGUAGGUGGCUUGAUAAGCCGGUUGUGAAAGCCCCGGGCUCAACCUGGGAACGGCAUCCGGAACUGUCAAGCUAGAGUGCAGGAGAGGAAGGUAGAAUUCCCGGUGUAGCGGUGAAAUGCGUAGAGAUCGGGAGGAAUACCAGUGGCGAAGGCGGCCUUCUGGACUGACACUGACACUGAGGUGCGAAAGCGUGGGUAGCAAACAGGACUAGAUACCCUGGUAGUC